UCAUCAGGUGGGAUCAUCCUUACCUGUUUCUCCUUUUGGAGGGCAGAUCAGAACAUGAUGAUUGGAGAAGAAUGAAACGUGAUUAAUAACUCUGUGUAAUCAGGCCUUGCAGCACCCCAAUUGAGCCUUUCUGAU
ensembl:snoRNA U8 U8 small nucleolar RNA